rnacentral:rRNA from 1 species
GUAGGUGGCAAGCGUUGUCCGGAAUUAUUGGGCGUAAAGCGCGCGCAGGCGGUUCUUUAAGUCUGAUGUGAAAGCCCACGGCUCAACCGUGGAGGGUCAUUGGAAACUGGAGAACUUGAGUACAGAAGAGGAAAGCGGAAUUCCACGUGUAGCGGUGAAAUGCGUAGAGAUGUGGAGGAACACCAGUGGCGAAGGCGGCUUUCCGGUCUGUAACUGACGCUGAGGCGCGAAAGCGUGGGGAGCAAACAGGAUUAGAUACCCUGGUAGUCCACGCCGUAAACGAUGAGUGCUAAGUGUUAGGGGGGUUUCCGCCCCCCUUAGUGCUGCAGCUAACGCAUUAAGCACUCCGCCUGGGAUACGGCCGCAAGGCUG